ACUGCAGAGCACCAUGGAUCCAAGGGACCAUUGUGACAUUGUGCAGCCUCACAGAACCAAGGACAUCAGUGUAGCUCUGUUGAGCCGCAUGAUCCCAAGGGGCCAGUGUGAAGCAGCAGGGCUUUGUGGAACCAAGAGGCCAUUGUUGCAUUUCAGGGCCUCAUGGAGCCAAAGGGCCGUUGUGAUCCUGUGGGGCACCAUGGAUCCAUGGAGACCAUUGUGGCACUGCAAGGCCCCAUGGAAUCAUUGCGACACUCUGGGGCCCCAGGGAACCAAAGAGCCAUUGUGACCCUGCAGGGCCUCAUGGAGGGAAGGGGUCAUUGUGACACUGUGGGAAGCUGUGGAACCAUUGUUGCACUACUGGGCCCCAACAGAACCAAGGGACCAUGGUGACACAGCAGGGCUUCAUGGAACACAAACACCAUUAUGACACUGUGGGGCCUUUUGGAACCAUGGAGACCAAUAAGAUCCUUAAGCACUUGUGAAACCAAGGGGCCAUUAUAAUGCCACAGGACAUCAUGGAAGCAAGAGAACCACUGUGAUGUUGCAAGACUUCAUGGAAGCAUAGAGCCCUUGUGACACUGCAGGGCCCUAUGGAACCAAGAGAACACAAAAUAGGUCUGGCUGCCUUGGCCUCCCAGGAGUCACCUGACAGGUCUGGCAGACCUUGGAAUGUGGAAGGCCACUCCCAUCUGCCCCUGAAACACUGGGGAUCUUGGCUUUCCUUUGUACGGAAAAGAACUGUCCAUCUCUUCCAGGUAUCCAUGGCCAAAAUUAGGAUUCCACCUCCAAAUUUCUGUGUAUCCAAGGAUUGCUGCCAGAGAAAAGCUGCCAGGACAGACAGGUCUGGCUGGUCUUUAACUCCUGAGUGCCAGCACUGACCUGUUUUCUAAACACUGGAAAGGGCUCUAUGCUUUUCUUUUUGUGGAAAAAAAUCCUCCUUCUCCAGGCACAAAUGGCUAAAAUUAAUAUUCCACAUUCAUAAUUUUGAAUAUCCAAGGGUUGCUCCCAGACAAAGCUGCCAGGACAGACAGGUCAGGCUUGCCUUGGCCUCUGGUGGCUGCCGUUCAUCAGCUCCUGAAACAUGGGGGUUCUGUGGUUUCCUUCUUAUGAAGACCAAUGUGACACCUUGUGGCCUUGUGAAAUGCAGGGGCAUUGUGACACUGCAGAGCACCAUGGAUCCAAGGGACCAUUGUGACACUCUGGAGCCUCACGGAACCAAGGACAUCACUGUGGCUCUGUUGGGGCCCAUGGUCCCAAGGGGCCAGUGUGAAGCAGCAGUGUGGGAGUUAGCCCGGCUGUAACUCAGAGUCAGCCAGAUUUUGUCCUGGAAGAACCAGGCCUUCACUCUUAAGUCAGGGAACCAGAGAGGUUUGUCUCAGCCACCCUCACUGUGACAUCUGGCCCCUGAGCAGGACCCUGACAUUCAGUUGUGUCAGCUGGGGUUAGCUGAGAGAUAGGCCAGUGCUCCCUGGGAUUGUGGAUUGUGCCUGGCCCAGUGGAUUUCCCAUCACUUCGAGGGACCUGAGCCAGAAUUGGUGGGGACGAUGACGGUUUCCUCCUGUGGAGGAUUGCAGGUGGGUUUGGGAAAAUGCAGGACAUUUAUCACCUAUUUUGCCACUGUGUUUUUAAAAUAUGGAUCCACAUCCCAUAAUUGAUUUGGGGCGUUCCAGUGGCUGUUCCCCCCAAGGCGGAGAAGUGAGAAAAAUGCAUGGUCAGAUGUCCAAAGAGGAAAGGAGCUUAUAUGGACACUUUAAGUUAAUUCUCACUGAUCAUGACAAAAUAUUUUUAAAGGGUGAAUUAAAAUCAAUUGUGAGGUGAAUCAUUAAAAAAUUUUCUAGUCACCUCUGCUGACAAAAUCCAUACCACUGAAUUUUGAGACUCUGUGGGAUUUAAAUUGUACAACCUUUCAAUCAAAAGGGACCCCAUUGCACCCCGGAUGCUCCCCUUCUUCCACACCAUCCUUGAGACCCUUCACCAGCAAGCCGUGUGUCGAAAACUUGAUCCAUCAGUCACUCCUAACCUGGGACCUCUCCUGAAACCUGCCUUUCCUGGACUUUCCAUGAUGGUCCAAAAUGGCAAUGGCCACGCUGUCUUGGAGCAUUGUGCCCUGGAGACCCAAGAUGGAAGAAGCCCGAAUGUGGCUCGGGAGCCUGGCCAUCCUCCCUCCAUCUUGGGUCCUCCAUUUCCUGCUACCACAACCUUCUCUUCCACUCUGAAGGAACCUCCAGACUCCACCCCUCUGCCUGCAGGUUGCGCCUCCACUGUCAUUCAUUCCACCUCCACCCUGGGCCACAGCUCCAGAAAAUGACAAAAUGGCAGCGCCCUUUACUCACCCUCCGGCAACAAUAUAAACCCCAUGGUCAAGGAUACUAAGCCAAACUGUCAACCUAUUUCUACUCCAAGUGUUUCUGCUCCAAGUUAUUCUUCCUCCCCAGAAGACAGUUUGGAUUCCCCAGAGCCACCUCUCCCCUCAACCCUAGAAGAUCCCUGGGAAAGGAUCUGGAAGGAACCAGUUAAGGAAGGAGACUGGCAAAUAGUCUUGAAACUCCUCAUUGCCUCAGGACAUUAGGAAAGAAGGGAGCAGAAUCCCAGAAUACACCCUGUGGGAAAGAGGGACGGAAGUGUUUACUAAAUCAAUUAAUAGCAGACUAUGCUAAUAAUGAGGCAAGGGCGCAAUUGACAAUCAGCCAUCUAGCUGGAGAAGGACAACACAGCCUGCCAGAUGAUCAAGCAGCAGGUAUCCCCAGAGAAGUAUUGGACGAUAGAAAAGAGAUGGCUUUGAAAGCUUUGAUCCAGGUACCAGAUGGUAGCACCCCCAGUUUGGAUUAUGUAAACAUAAGACAAGAACCAAGCGAACCCUGCAUGAAAUUUAUUGAUCGCCUUAAACAGGCACUAGAGAAACAAGUCUGGGAUGAAAAGACUCAAAAUGAAUUACUAAACUCAUUGGGGGUAGCCAAUGCCAACCCGGAAUGUAAGAAAGGGCUGCGUGGCCUUCCACUAGAGAUGGAACCCACACUCCUGCAGAUGAUUGAGGCUGUAAUUGCCUCAGGACCACAGAACACAUAGCGGCUGUACAAGCCCAUGCCAUUGGGCAAGGAGUUGCAGAGGCCCUAGUGGCCAUGCCAUUCCCCUUUAAGGGGCCCCAGCAACAAUUACAGGGCCGAAAAAUAUGUUUCUGGUGUGGUCAACAAGGACAUUUUAGAAAAUAUUAUCUCUGGGGUAGGGGGGUAUCCGGUCCCUAACAGAAAUCAACAUCAAACUAAGCACAAUUUCUCAUUUUACAAUGGCCUAGUGCAGGUUGGGAUGAUGAUCCACCCUCACAGCUGGCCCAGGGCAGGCUUGGAGUGGCCUUGGUGGCACCUUGGGCUUGGCACAGACUUGAGGAUGGUCUAUGUUUUCAACAGAGACACUCAAGAGUUUUAGAUUGCUUCAAAGAAUUAAAAAGACAAAAUCCCUCUUUGGCUGUGUGCUGUCAGAUCUCCAAGCAAAGCAGAUCCCAGGUGAGUGAGGAGAGACAGGAUGGGGUUGGAGAAUGUGGAGCAGGGUUGUCAACACUGGGUCAGAGAUCAAGGCACAGCUUCUCUGACCAGGCCAGACCUCCUUAGGAGAGUCCCUGGAUCAAUAUCAGUCACAGAAUGCUUCAAUCACCUCUUGUGUACUAAGAAAAAUAAUAAAAGACAUCCUUGAAAAUAGGAAUACAUAUUUCCUAGAAAAUCUUUGAAAUAUUUCUCCAGCAGGAAAACUUCCUGAUGAACAGCACUAGAGCAGAGGGAAAUCAAGGCAGAGCCAUGGGUUGUCAGGACUUGCUUGAGGCUAAUAAGCCUCAUGGUGCAUUUGGAGCUGAGCCCUGGAACCUCAGGCCCUGAGAGGAUAUUGCACAAACCUGUCCAGAAGUCAAAGUCAGAAGAAAACCCCGAAGUUUGUCAAGGCAUGAAUAGGUCCUACUGAGGUCCAUCCCCAAUACAGACUGAUCAUGGACUCCUUGGAGGAGAGAAUUGGAGGCCAGGAUGCCACAAAAACCUGUCAGAGACUCAGUGUGAAAAGGAAAAUCCAAAGUACUUUAAAAACCUUGAGUAUCUCAAAGUAUUAAUGAGCCCAAUUGGGUGUCAGUGCAAAGCUCUCAAGGGACUCAUUAAAGCAGAUAAUUGGGGCCAUGAUUGCACAAACCUCUCCCAAAGUCUGUAUCAAAAGGGAAACACCAAGUACCUUCAAAUAACUGAAGUACCCUGAAGCAUUAAUGAGCCCCAUGGAGUGUUGUUACUGACAAAGCCUCUCCAGGGACUAAUUACAGCAGAUAAUUGGAGCCCAUGAUUGCACAAGCCUCUCAGAAAGUCAAGGUAAAAGCAAAAGCCUAAGUCCUUUGAAAAACCUGCAGUCCCUGGGAGCAUGAAGGAUCCCCCAGGGCCAUUGCUGAGCAAGG